UAAAAAAUAUUUAAUAGAAAUUUUUUAGAAGUCUAUACCAAUGUGUUUAUCUUAAUGGAAAGGGUGAAUCAACGAUUAAUAAGACUUUAGGUUUCAUGGCCUUUUCUGACAGCAAAAAGUAUUUAUCUAAAUUUCAUCAAGCAGACUUGAAUAUAGAGGCUGGGAUUCUGGACCUAACAAUAGUUGAAAAAAAUAUUUCUCUUCCUGACAGUGAAAAUCGAUAUUGUAAAAAAAAGUUACAAAAUUAAAAAAAAAAAAUCUGGAAAUUGGUUGACCGCGCAAGCCAACCCUAGAACUUCCCGCUAAGUUUCAAUUUAAAGCGCCUGAAAAUGAGUUUUUUGGUUAAUAUUUGAGCUUUUCAAGCUCAAAGCACCAUUUUUCACAUUUUGAGCUCGAUGAGCGUGUUUCAUCCCAAGUCGAGCAGGAGAAAUUUUUAUUCUUGACAUUUUUCAGUAAGCUACCGAUGGGUAUACCCAUUAUUAUAAUAAGGCCUAGCUAAGGGAGAUUUUGAAAAAAAUCGAAAAUAUUGCGUUUAGUUAUUGAAAUGUAUCAUUAAUUUUUAUAUUAAUACAUUAGCCAUAAAAUAUAAUGGAGUAAUAAUAUUUUUCACCAUAAACAAACACAAAAUUAAAUUUUUUCAAAAACCUUGCAUGUACCUUAUACCUAUAGUAUAACUAUUUCCUUACUGGAAAUAGUUAUACUAUACUUAAUAAAAUUGGUAUUAGGGAUCAAUAACCACUAAAAUUUAGCAACAAUACUUUUUAAGAUGUUAAUAAAAAUUGAAACAAUGAUUUUAAAUUAUUAAAUAUAAAAUUAUAAAAAAUGUUUACCAUUUACUCAAACCGUUUUUUAGGAAUUCUUCGGCGCUAUUUUAGCAUAUGACGGAUGAUGAAAUAUAGAAGACAGGGAACGUUGUAUCGGGACUCUAUAAACUUGUAGCGACAUUUCUAUGCUAGACGCUUCUAC